rnacentral:rRNA from 1 species
CCUACGGGAGGCUGCAGUGGGGAAUAUUGCACAAUGGAGGAAACCCUGAUGCAGCAACGCAGCGUGCGUGAAGAAGUAUUUCGGUAUGUAAAGCUCUAUCAGCAGGAAAGAAGAUGACGGUACCUGAUUAAGUAGCCCCGUCUAACUACGUGCCAGCAGCCGCGGUAAUACGUAGGGAGCAAGCGUUAUCCGGAUUUACUGGGUGUAAAGGGAGCGCAGACGGCAGUGCAAGUCUGGAGUGAAAGCCCGGGGCCCAACUCCGGAACUGCCUUGGAAACUGUGCGGCUAGAGUACUGGAGGGGCAGGCGGAAUGCAUAGUGUAGCGGUGAAAUGCGUAGAGAUUAGGCGGAACACCAGUGGCGAAGGCGGCCUGCUGGACAGUAACUGACGUUGAGGCUCGAAAGCGUGGGGAGCAAACAGGAUUAGAUACCCGGGUAGUC